ACGAGAAUAUUCGACAAUGGGCGAAAGCCUGAUCGAGCGACGCCGCGUGCAGGAUGAAGAGCUUCGGUUUGUAAACUGCUUUUAUGGGGGAAAAAGUUUAUUGAUGGUACCCCACGAAUAAGGAGUUGCUAAACUCGUGCCAGCAGCAGCGGUAAUACGAGUGCUCCAAGCGUUAUCCGGAAUCAUUGGGCGUAAAGGGUGUGUAGGUGGUCGUGUUAGUCUUUUGUUAAAUUCUUCGGCUUAACCGGGGGCAUGCAAGGGAAACGGCACGACUUGAGGAUGCGAGAGGCCAAGGGAACUCAUGGAGUAGGGGUGAAAUCCGUUGAUAUCAUGGGGAACACCGAAAGCGAAGGCACUUGGCUGGCGCACUUCCUGACACUGAGACACGAAAGCGUAGGUAGCGAAUGGG
rnacentral:rRNA from 1 species